rnacentral:rRNA from 1 species
AGCAUAUUACUAAGCGGAGGAAAAGAAACCAACAGGGAUUCUCCCAGUAACGGCGAGUGAAGGGAGAAAAGCCCAGCACUGAAUCCUGCAGCUAUUCGCUGUUAGGAAUUGUAGUGUUUAGGUAACUUCGCAUGUACAGCGCAACUUACUUUAAGUCCGCCUGAUUGUGGCUCAAGCCCAGAGAGGGUGUAAGGCCCGUAAAAGUGAGAAGCGUUAGUGCUUGAAGUUGUCCUUGGAGUCGAGUUGUUUGGGAAUGCAGCUCAAAACGGGUGGUAAGCUCCAUCUAAGGCUAAAUACUGCCACGAGUCCGAUAGCUAACAAGUACUGUGAAGGAAAGUUGAAAAGAACUUUGAAGAGAGAGUUCAAUAGUACGUGAAACCGCUUAGAGGCAAACGGAUGAAGCUGAAACUAGUCCGAGGGAUUCAACCGCGCUUGCCGUAGCCGCGCUGUUGCUAGGAUUUAAUAAACCUACAUUAGCGUUGAGUUGCGGUAGCGCGGCGCACUUUCCUCGCGGCUUUCACCACGACUGACAGCGUGGUCAGUCUGCGUUGGCGGAAGGUAGCUUUUAACUCUUCGGGGUUAAAAGUGUUAUAGACGUCUUCUACGUUUGACUGGUUUUGUGUCAGAGCUGGCGGCGCCCGCCCUUUGGGCUCGCAUGGUUGGCUUGUUGAGGCUUCUGCUGGUUGCACUGCUUGCAGUUCUGCUGCGCAGCUUAGCUCCUUCUAGGUUAGCCCUCUGCGAGUUGGCGCCAAUAGUCUGUGGUGUUUUUGUAAGUCUUUCAUCUGACCCGUCUUGAAACACGGACCAAGGAGUCUAACAUGUGCGCGAGUCAUUGGAUUUUACGAAAUUCAAAGGCAAAGUGAAGGUAAAGGUUGCAUUAAUGCAGCUAAGGUGGGAUAUGGCUAAAUAAAGUCAUCGCAGCACCGGCUCGUUCUAUUUGUUUUCAAAGGAGCGACGCAAGAGCGUACACGCUGGGACCCGAAAGAUGGUGAACUAUGCUUGCGCAGGUCGAAGCCAGACGAAAGUCUGGUGGAGGACCGCAGCGUUUCUGACGUGCAAAUCGAUCGUCAAACGUGAGUAUAGGGGCGAAAGACUAAUCGAACCAUCUAGUA